rnacentral:rRNA from 1 species
AGCGAACGCUGGCGGCAUGCCUAACACAUGCAAGUCGCACGGGGGGGCUUCGGCCUCCCAGUGGCGGACGGGUGAGGAACGCGUAGGGACCUGUCGAGGGGUGGGGGAUAACCGCGGGAAACUGCGGCUAAUACCGCAUGACGCCGCGGCGUGACAGCCGGGGCCAAAGGCGAAAGCCGCCCGCCGAGGGGCCUGCGUCCGAUUAGCUGGUUGGCGGGGUAGCGGCCCACCAAGGCGUCGAUCGGUAGCUGGUCUGAGAGGGUGAUCAGCCACACCGGGACUGAGACACGGCCCGGACUCCUACGGGAGGCAGCAGUGGGGAAUAUUGGACAAUGGGCGCAAGCCUGAUCCAGCAAUGCCGCGUGAGUGAAGAAGGUCUUCGGAUUGUAAAGCUCUUUCGGCGGGGACGAUGGUGACGGUACCCGCAGAAGAAGCCCCGGCUAACUUCGUG